CACAUUUAAAUGCGGCUUGCUCUCCUGUGUCUGCGGUCAGAGCCCACUGGAUUUAGGAAACUAGAUAAUUUGUUGUGCUACCGAUCAGAGCAGGAACUGAGAAGGCAAGACUGGCAUCCGCCAGGGCUGCUUAGCACAGUGGUUGCCAGGGUUUAUGUUUUGGUUAUUGUUGUUGAAUGAUCCUUAUUUGUAAUCUCUUUUUCUGCUUGAGAUCCCCUUUUAUUUUUCAGAAUUGUGGCUUGCAUUGUAAGAGGAGCCUGUGAAUUCAGAGGCAAGUCUGCUGAGGACCGAAUGUUCCUGUCCAUAAAAACAGAAGUCUGGCCUGGGCUCCUCUCUUGGGUGAAUUUGCAAUGCCAGAUCCUCUCUAUCAGUUUGGUUUUGUUUCUUGUAUCUCUGGGAAGGCAGGCAGACAGCACGGUCACCUGUGAAUGCAGCUACAAUUGGCUUAGCUGCCUCACUGAUAAAUGUGCCCCCAGUAAGCUACAAAGGGAUUACCAGCGUUCUCAGCAGCUAAAGGAACUGGUGAAGAUUUCCCCAGCAAAAAGUAGAAGCUCAGUGUUUCAUAGAUGAAGACUGGGGAGAUUGCAAAAGACCCAUCCAGAGUCUCACUUUGUCGCCCAGGCUGGAGUACAGUGGUGCGAUCUUGGCUCUCUGCAACCUCUGCCUCCCAGGUUCAAGUAAUUCUCCUGCCUCAGCCUCCCGAGUAGCUGGUACUACAGGCACACAUUUGUAGAGAUGGUGUUUCCCCAUGUCAUCCAGGCUGGUCUGGAACUCCUGGGAUCAAGUAAUCCACCCGCCUCGGCCUCCCAAAGUGCUGGGAUUACAGACGUGAGCCACCACGCCCUGCCAAUAAAAAGAUUAUCUCCAGAUGCUGGAAUGACCAGUAAUUUAUUUUCUUCCUUUUUUUUUGUCUGCACUUUCUACCAUAAUCAUAUGUUAGCUUCUUACUAAGAAGAAAAGUCAAUGUUAUUUCCCUGAAAAAGUAAUGUUGUUUGGUUAUUAAACAAAUUUAAUUUUCUAAACAAGAGUACGACAGGUAAACUGCCUACCUUAAAAGCAAACGAACACAAAUAAAUAAACUAACCAUCUUCCACUUCAGUCUCUGUCCUUUCACCAGAGUUGCUGAUCAGCCCAGAAUGGACUGAUUUGAAUUUGCUUAGUUGUUCAUUCAUUCAUUUAUUUAACAAGUAUUUAUUAAGCACUUGCUCUGUAGAAAGCACUGUGCUGGUAUUGGAAUACUGGCUUAUGUAAGUGUGAUAGUAAUGGGAUUCUGACUUAGGCCUGACUCCUGGGCCGUAAUGUUUGGAUACUAUGUAUACAUCUAACUAUAAAACGAG
rnacentral:lncRNA from 10 species